UGCAAUUCGUUGCACUAUCGUUAACUGAAUACAUAGGUUAACGAGGCGAACCGGGGGAACUGAAACAUCUAAGUACCCCGAGGAAAAGAAAUCAACCGAGAUUCCCCCAGUAGCGGCGAGCGAACGGGGAGCAGCCCAGAGUCUGAAUCAGCUUGUGUGUUAGUGGAACGGUCUGGAAAGUCCGACGGUACAGGGUGAUAGUCCCGUACACCAAAAUGCACAGGCUGUGAACUCGAAGAGUAGGGCGGGACACGUGGUAUCCUGUCUGAAUAUGGGGGGACCAUCCUCCAAGGCUAAAUACUCCUGACUGACCGAUAGUGAACCAGUACCGUGAGGGAAAGGCGAAAAGAACCCCGGCGAGGGGAGUGAAAAAGAACCUGAAACCGUGUACGUACAAGCAGUGGGAGCACCUUCGGGUGUGACUGCGUACCUUUUGUAUAAUGGGUCAGCGACUUAUAUUCUGUAGCAAGGUUAACCGUAUAGGGGAGCCGCAGGGAAACCGAGUCUUAACUGGGCGUUAAGUUGCAGGGUAUAGACCCGAAACCCGGUGAUCUAGCCAUGGGCAGGUUGAAGGUUGGGUAACACUAACUGGAGGACCGAACCGACUAAUGUUGAAAAAUUAGCGGAUGACUUGUGGCUGGGGGUGAAAGGCCAAUCAAACCGGGAGAUAGCUGGUUCUCCCCGAAAGCUAUUUAGGUAGCGCCUCGUGAAUUCAUCUUCGGGGGUAGAGCACUGUUUCGGCUAGGGGGUCAUCCCGACUUACCAACCCGAUGCAAACUACGAAUACCGAAGAAUGUUAUCACGGGAGACACACGGCGGGUGCUAACGUCCGUCGUGAAGAGGGAAACAACCCAGACCGCCAGCUAAGGUCCCAAAGUCAUGGUUAAGUGGGAAACGAUGUGGGAAGGCACAGACAGCCAGGAUGUUGGCUUAGAAGCAGCCAUCAUUUAAAGAAAGCGUAAUAGCUCACUGGUCGAGUCGGCCUGCGCGGAAGAUGUAACGGGGCUAAACCAUGCACCGAAGCUGCGGCAGCGACACUAUGUGUUGUUGGGUAGGGGAGCG
rnacentral:rRNA from 1 species